rnacentral:lncRNA from 1 species
UGGUCAAAGCAAUUAUUACAAUUAUUUUAAUCUGUAUGUGAUCAAGGGUAAAAAUAUCCACUUCAAAUGUAACUUAUACAUGAAUUAUAAGGGGCACCUACAGAGGUGCGCCCCUCCAAAAAUAGGCGUAUGCCAUUUAAAGCGACGCGCACACGGUAUUCUUUAGUAAAAGGCGAAAGAAUAGUUCGCUUUGUGCUCGACGCAUGGCUCCGUAAGUUACAAGUGGAUCAGCUGCUUUAUUUUAUAUGAACUACCAUACAUUCUUUUAGCUCCUUCUGCCGAUGUGGGACAAAACUUCCUACACCUCAAAGACUUUUCAUAUAUUAGUUCAACGGCCAACUUAGAAAAACUUGGCUUAGCAUAUGCGGAGGACAUUACCCUUAUCUGCCACACUUGUUAUUUCCUCUAGUCCUUCAUCUUCAACCGCAGCAUGCCUCUGCUCAUCUUAGUUAUUCCCAUCCAAUCCCAAUGACCCAAAGCUCUGAGUUUGCUAGUUCCUUUGUGAAUUUCGUACCUUACAUAAAAUAAAUUAAACCCUGGUUGAGGCUCAGUCUGUGUACGAGAAUUGUGUAGGAGACUCAGUCUGUGUACAAUUGUCAUUAAGUCCUGGUUGAGGCUUGGUGGAUAUAAUUAGUGUUCAUUUCAAAAUGUGAAUUUGACAACCACAGAUUGACAAAAGUUCCGGUCUCUUCAGUUUAAUGCUUAAAAAAUAAAUUAUUUUUCAGGGAUACAGUGUAUCUGGCUAAAGGCCUAAUUUGACCACUACUGUCUAUGAAUUUGACUUAACUUUGCUCCCCUGGAAAACCAGCAGACAGGUGAUUUAUUACUCUUGUUGGCCAAUUUAUUACUUUGAUGGUCAAGCUCAAGACAGCAUUGGCUAACUUUUGUCUGAGCCAACACAUGGGGAGAAAAGACUUUUGAUUCAGAAUUUAUUGUGUAUCAGACAUGGCAGUGAUACAAUCAAAUAUUGGUGAACAACACUGCAAUGAAAAUAAAUUGCCCAACAAUCAUUCUUUGUUUGAAUUGAAUCUUUCAUGUAAUUUGUUUCCUAGAUAUAUCAGCCAAUUGCCAUUUCCAAAACCAGAUGCCAAGAUAGUGGAUGUGAACCUCAGAAGUCACACUCAGAAAAGAGACAUCAUAUUUAUAUGUGAAAAUGAUAAACUUCCAGCGCCUAUAUGCAUACUUUUCAUCUCCCCCUCCUUUUUUCUUAUCAAGUUAACCAUUGAUUUGAAGAGUUAAUAAAUAUUUUAAGCAUAUGUCAGUGAAGUAAUGCCUUGUACUUCUGUUGGAGUUUGAAAAUUAUAUAGUAGAACAAGCUUUCUGUUUACUUAAACACAAUGAACAAGCUUUCUGUUUCUCUUUUGACACUUAGUUGAUGAAACAAAACACUACCCUUUACCUGAGAAACUUCAAACAAUCAUAAACUUUAACAUAUCCAUGCGGAAUACAAUUAAGGAAAAAGAUGGAUACUUUAACAAAACAGCUGAAGUUCAGCAAAUAAUUGGGAAAAAUCAAACCUAAGAAAGCUUAGAUAUUCAUCAUUGAGCCAACCAUACUUCUCCAUGAAUGGAUUGACUAAGGUUUUAGGAGGGUAACUCUCUAUGCAAUCUUUCCAAACAUUGGCAUCACCCAAGUCCUUGAGCACUUCCCACACAAUAUUGUUGCACUUAAAACCUGCUCCAAAUCCACUCAUCAGAAUUCUGUUGCCCUUCUUAAGCCUCUGCUUGGCCUCCAUAUAUCCCAAAGCAUACCAAAAGCCAGCUGCUGAUGUGUUGCCAAACCUGUGAAGUGCCAUUCUAGAUGGCUCAACAUCAUAAUCACUUAGCCCCAAGCUCUUACCAAUCCCAUCUAUGAUUGCUCUUCCACCAGGGUGAAUGCAAAAGUGCUCAAUCCCGGUCUUAAGAUUCAACCCAACUCCCUCAUCUGCUUUUGGCUUUUGGCUUUUGGCACUUUUAAGCCUAGAUACCGCCAGGUACCUAAGUAUUUCUCUCAGUGGAAGCACUUUUGGUACUAGAACUUGGAGGUUCAUUGUAAAAGCCAGAGCUGCUGCUUUUGUGAGGUGUUUGGUAAGGCGAAAACCUUGAUAUCCACUCUCAUCUUCUGCCUGUAUGCAGCAAUCAUACGCUUCAUCACUUGAGCCAAUGUGGGUUCGUACCAAAUGCCUUAACUUCAACAUGGCUUGGUGCUUUAGGCCUUUGUUGUUUGUGAACAGCAUCGAACACCCUCCCGAGCGGAACAGACAGUUGGUGAGCAUCAUGGACUUUUCUUUGCCACAGUACCAGUUAGGAGCUAUGGAUUCUGUGCUUACAACAAUUGCAUUUGCGUUUUUGUAUGACUUGAACAAGUUUUGUACAACAUCAAUAGCAAUGAGACUUGCACUGCAUCCCAUUCCUGAGAGGUUGAAGGUCUUGAUGUCCUCCCUCAUCUUGUAACGAUUUAUUAUACGAGAUGUUAGAGAGGGUGCAGGGGAGAACAUUGACACAUUGACAACCAGAAUGUCGAUUUGUGAUGGAGAAAUUGAAGUAGGCCUGGCAAAAAGCUUGUCAAGUGUGUCAAAUAUGAUACCAUCCAUCUCACAAAGCUCAUCUGCCCGGGUUGGAUUUCGGCCUUCAAUGAUGUUUCGUGGGCAAGAUGUUUCUUCACCAAUGCCAGAACUGACAAUAGUUUUCAAGAGAAACCUGAGUUCUUCCAAUCCCAAAUUCUUGUUCUGCAUGACGAUUUUUGCGCUGGAAUCACAGUUGAGCUUCAUGUCCUCUUUGGCCUUGUAGCACUCAUAAGCCAGCAUAUAGCAGCUCUGGUCUCUCCUUUGGAGAAGUAACUUGCAGAGGCAGAAGAAACCAAAGAAAAGAGUGAGAAGAGACAUUGUCAUGAAGAUCUCCAUGGCCCUACAGCUCUCUUUGUUUGUGGGUGUGAGAGAUGGAGAGAGAUAGAAUUGUGAAGUGUUAUAUGUGAGUUGCAUGCAAAACUUCAACAACUAUCUUAGUACUUAUCCUACACUGCACCCAUCUCUUUCUUAUAAAUCGAUGGUGAUGAACUAAUGUUGCUUGUGAUCACUAAUGGAAAGACCUCUACUUUUUACCUACAAGUUAGCAGGUAUUUAUUAAGAUUAAUUUUAUGGUUAGGCGGUAGGCACAACCAUGCAAUAAAACGACAAGCCAUGACUGAACGAACAGCCUAAAUGGUCAGAGUUUCAGUCAAGUUAUUGAGAGGGAGUUAUGCUUCAUAUCUACACUAGCCAAGUUGCCAUCUCUCCUCUUACAAAAACUUCAACGCUAAAAUUAAUAUCAAACAGUUCUAAAUUCUCUCUCUCUCUCUCUCUCUCUCUCUCUCUCCAUAUAUAUAUAUACAGAGAGCUUCCAUUGAGGGAUCCCUCAAAUAAGCUUAUUUGAGGGACACCCCUUGUAGGCCCCACUUCGGAUUGUAUUUCAUUAAUCCAAACCGUCUAUUUUGUAGAUACUCAUUCAAAGAUCAUCCCUACAAAAAAUCACUUGAAUCCGAUAUCAUUUGACCACUCAAUUAAGUUAUUGAAAUUUUAGCAUUUUCUUGAAGUACCGUGUUCAUUGAUUUUGUAAGACACAAUUGGAUGUCGAAACGGUUUCCGAUUUGUCUAAUUUUUUGUUAGGAUGAUCUAUGAAUGAAGACCUAAAAAAUAGAUGGUUUGGAUCAUUGGGAAAAAAAUUGUAGAGUACCCUAAAGGGCGUCCCUCAAAUAAUUUUAUUUAAGGGAUCCCUCAAUAGAAGGGGACUGUAUAUAUAUAUAUAUAUAUAUAAUCUUUUAAAUUUCUGUAAAAACAAGAAGACUUUUGAAUAUUUUUUGUUGCUGAAAUGUUUGGUUUUGGGGUUAUGUGGGAUUUCAUUAUUGCCCUGCUCAAGAAAAUGUAACUUUCCAAGGUGUGAAUUAUCUUUUAUCAUCUCAUUAUUUCUUCCAAGAGACAUGAAUUUGAAGUUGAAGUUACAGCACGAAACUAGCAAGUGGGCUGUGUAUGUACAUUAAGUCUUUGUCUGCCUGUUUACUUUUCGGUUUGUGUGUGCUUUAUCUUUGUGUAGUUUGUGUGUUAUAAUUGCGAAGUUUAUCAACAACAAGGUCUUGGAGUGUUUUCGCACAACAGAAAUAACUCUCCAAUAGAAGACAGUUGCAAUGAAGUCUCUCAUAUUUAUAAUAGCACAUUCAGUUGGAUUUCUUGGGAGUGGGUGCACAUUUUCAAGUGCAUUCAUUCCCAUAGAAAACGCUAUAUUUCUCUAGAUGGCAAAAUGAAAUAAGUCUAUAUAUGCCUUCUAGUUGCAUCAUGUUUGCAUUUACAGGUUCUAAUUCUAGGUUGCAGAACUCCAGAAUAUAUUUGAAAACUCAUGAGUUCCACUCUAAGAUAUAAAAUCAAUAGGCUAUGAUCAAAAUGGCAGACUGGUCUUCCACUAGACUAAUGCACCACACUGGUUAUUCAGAAACCAAACUGCGCUCAAGGCACUUGCAUUGCUUAUUUCAACCCAGAAUACAAAUUUAAACAAAUUCAUGUGUAACUAGGUUUCAAAUAAAUUGAAUUGCUUUAUUAUUUGAAUGUUGGACUGUUGUCCCACUGGAUAUUGGAACAGCCAUUCUAUUACAACAUAACUACAGAUAAAUCAGAUGAGACGAAAAAAGUACUUGGAAAAUCGGCUGCAAGUGCGGGUCUUCAACUUCCUGAGGUUUAUCAGCCUUGAAAUUUAGUUGGGUAUAAUUUGCUACAUUCUAUUAUGGCAUAGAAAAUAUGCCUCCAGCGAACCAUGUAGCCUGUGGAAUUUUUUAGUUAUAUUCGUAAAUAACUAAGUGCUAUAUGCUUGUUACCAACAAUGGGAUCGAAAUUUGUUUGACUUGCUGCUAUCUAUUUUAACAAAAAUAAGUUUUGCUACAUCAGCUGAAUUUGAUCAUUUGUAAGGGUAUUGACUUGUAUACCAGUGGUCUCACAUAUACUUUAGUAGUGUGUGAUCACAAAACCCCCUUCCCUUAAUAUCACUUGUAUUAAAAAAUAUAUAUAUAUAUUACGACAAAAACAAAUCAUAAUAAUCAAAUUAUUUUAUUGCCCAUUUAAAUGUCAGAUAAUAAAUAAUAAAUGAAAAGGCAGGUUUUAAUACGCCCCAUUAUUUUUUUUUAAAACGCAUGUCUAGAAAAUGGACUUUCAAAAACAAAAAAAUUGUAAGUCGAGUGGAAAAAAGGCCUCUCAUAGCACAUGCUUCUUUUCUUUUCUUUUUUUAAUUUAUAAAUAUAAGCGAACUACAAGGGGUGGGGUUCUCACACACACACUAUCAAGGUGCUAUGUGAAUUCGAACUUAAGACCAUUAGUCUGCAAAUUAAGACCUUUUUUUCAUUGGGUUAAAUUAUGUUAGUGCACAGGGGCUAAUUUAAAAUUAAUUAAGAAAAUUUAAUAUAAAGAGAAAACAAACUGCAGGAAACUUUGAGAUUCCUUAUUUUUUAGUGUACCACACAAGAUCACCAGUCCCCUUUUUUCCGUUGUUUUUAUGGGUUCGCAUGUUUUCUAAGUCCUUGUUUAAUCUUUGGGCGUGAUACUCCUCAGUAUAUAAUUCCCAUUCUAAUGAGAGAUUCCUAUUAUUUAAAGACUUAUGCAAUUAAUUUUAUUUCAUAAACAUCUUUUACGGUUUAUUACGAUUUUUUUCAACAAUUCAAAACUAUCUAUUUUUCAAAUCUUUAUUCAUAAAUCAUCCUUACAUAAAAUUAGACAAAUUGAAAAUCAUUUAGACAUCUAGUCAUAUCUAAUAAGAUUUCAAAUUUGUUCAAAGAGGUGUAAUUGAUGAUCAGAGUCUGAUAAUAAUUCCAAUUUCAAAGAAUAAUCAAUUCAUGAAGUCUAAUGUCUAUUUGAUUCUCCAAACAGUACCCAUUUUCGACACAGCAUAUAAUGAUGGAUCCAUAUGAGCGGGAUUUGUAUACAUUAUUGCCCUACUCAAAAAAAAUGUAACUUUCCAAGAUGUGAAUCUGAAGGUACAGCUAGAAAUUAGCAAGUGAAUAGUAAAUGCAAUUCCAACGAUGGGAAACAGAGCAUUGUAUUCACAUAAAAAACCAUUUGGGUACAAUAGUAAGCGACAAACACCAGAAAUAAGAAAAUCCAAAUAAUUCGAACUCAAAUUAUAGGGGCACCCACAGAGGUGCGCCCCUCCAAAAAUAGGCGUAUGCCAUUUAAAGCGACGCGCACACGGUAUUCUUUAGUAAAAGGCGAAAGAAUAGUUCGCUUUGUGCUCGACGCAUGGCUCCGUAAGUUUUCAAGCAAACAGCUACUUUAUUUUAUAACCCCGACUCUAGCUAGUUCGUACUCCUUCAGCCGAUGUGGGACAAAAGUGCCUACACCUCAACCCUUCUCAAAACGGCCAACUUAGAAAAACUUAGCUUAGCAUAUUCAGAGGAGAUUGCCCUUCUCUAUCACACUUAAUACAAAAGUGCCUAGUUCUAAAGCAAUUCCAACGACCCCAAACUCUGAUUUUGCUAGUUCCUUUGUCAAUUUCAUACCUCACAUGAAAUCAGCCUUUGACUGGUUUUGAACCCAAGUGGAAACUGGUGGACGAGAAUUGAGUAUGAGAUACUCAGUCUCUGUAUAAUUUCCAUGAUGUUCUAUAGAGAAAAAAAAAAAAAAAAAGUAAAUUCUGCAAUUGAUUUUACACAUUC